rnacentral:lncRNA from 1 species
UUAAUUUGUCGCUCCUUCAAGUAAGACUUUGGGCCUCAUUUCAAUUCAAUGGCCUUUAAUUUUUCUGUCGUACACUUUUACCAUGUGAUUUGGUUUGGUCAUAUCUAUCAUACAUCAAAGUGCAAUGGCAUCAUCAUACUCGAUCGAUCUAGCUAGUGCUUCCUCACUAGUCACCUGCAUCAUAAUACUGCCACCUUCUUU